rnacentral:rRNA from 1 species
CAAGUCGAACGCGAAAGCCCCGCAAGGGGUAAGUAGAGUGGCAAACGGGUGAGUAACACGUGGGUGACCUGCCUUCGAGUGGGGGAUAACGUUCCGAAAGGAGCGCUAAUACCGCAUGACAUCCUGCGUUUGGAAACGCGGUGAUUAAAGCCGGGGAUCGCAAGACCUGGCGCUUGAAGAGGGGCCCGCGGCCGAUUAGCUAGUUGGUGGGGUAAUGGCUCACCAAGGCAACGAUCGGUAUCCGGCCUGAGAGGGCGGACGGACACACUGGGACUGAGACACGGCCCAGACUCCUACGGGAGGCAGCAGUGGGGAAUUGUUCGCAAUGGGCGCAAGCCUGACGACGCAACGCCGCGUGGAGGACGAAGAUCUUCGGGUCGUAAACUCCUUUCGAUCGGAAAGAACGACUCCCGGGUGAAUAGCCCGGGGGAGUGACGGUACCGAGAGAAGAAGCCCCGGCUAACUCCGUGCCAGCAGCCGCGGUAAUACGGGGGGGGCAAGCGUUGUUCGGAAUUACUGGGCGUAAAGGGCUCGUAGGCGGCCAACUAAGUCGGAUGUGAAAUCCCCAGGCUUAACCUGGGAAUUGCAUCCGAUACUGGAUGGCUUGAAUCCGGGAGAGGGAUGCGGAAUUCCAGGUGUAGCGGUGAAAUGCGUAGAUAUCUGGAGGAACACCGGUGGCGAAGGCGGCAUCCUGGACCGGCAUUGACGCUGAGGAGCGAAAGCCAGGGGAGCAAACGGGAUUAGAUACCCCGGUAGUCCUGGCCCUAAACGAUGAAUGCUUGGUGUGACGGGUAUCGAUCCCUGUCGUGCCGAAGCUAACGCAUUAAGCAUUCC